UAUGGAUCCUCUUUCAAUGAAUUUAGUAUGCCCAAACUCGAAGGAGUUUCACCUCCAUAAGAGCGACAGUCCUGGAGAAGUUAUCAGAGCCAAAAAAAUUCAUAUGAUGAUGCAUUUUCCGUCUCUGAAAACGUCUUCAGCAGAAGUUGUUUUUAGCGAAGUGAAACUCAUUCGAUUUUGAUCAUACUAACGACAUUGGAUGCUUGGAUCGGCA
rnacentral:precursor_RNA from 15 species